GACGAACGCUGGCGGCGUGCUUAACACAUGCAAGUCGAACGGAAAGGCCUCUUUCGGGGGGUACUCGAGUGGCGAACGGGUGAGUAACACGUGAGUAACCUGCCCUUGACUUUGGGAUAACUUCAGGAAACUGGGGCUAAUACCGGAGAGGAGCUCCUGCUGCAGGGUGGCGGUCCGACAGGUUCGGCGGUUGGGGAUGGACUCGCGGCUUAUCAGCUUGUUGGUAGGGUCGUGGCUUACCAAGGCGUUGACGGGUAGCCGGCCUGAGGGGGUGAGCGGCCCCAUUCGGACUGGGAUCCGGCCCAGCCCCCUACGCGAGGCAGCCGUGGGGAGUGUUGCGCAAUGGGUGGAAGCGUGAUGCAGCACCGCCGUGGGCGCGAGGACGGAGUUCGGGUUGUAACCCGCUUUCGCUCAUGGCGGAGCAUUGUGUGACGGUAGUGGGUAAAGAAGCCCCGGCUAACUACGUG
rnacentral:rRNA from 1 species